AAUAGAUACCCGGGUAGUCCUAGCCGUAAACGAUGAGCACUGGGUUGAAGGGUCCUCCAUAGCCUUUCAGCCGUAGCGAAAGUGUUAAGUGCUCCGCCUGGGGAGUAUGGUCGCAAGGCUGAAACUCAAAGAAAUUGACGGGGGCUCACACAAGCGGUGGAGGAUGUGGCUUAAUUCGAGGCUACGCGAAGAACCUUAUCCUAGUCUUGACAUGCACGGAUUAACUCCCUGAAAGGGGAGCCACGCCUUCGGGUGGAACGUGCACAGGUGCUGCAUGGCUGUCGUCAGCUCGUGCUGUGAAGUGUCGGGUUAAGUCCCUUAACGAGCGAAACCCUUGUCGCUAGUUGCCAGCGAGUCAUGUCGGGGACUCUAGCGAGACCGCCGGUGUUAAACCGGAGGAAGGUGGGGAUGACGUCAAGUCCUCAUGGCCUUUAUGACUAGGGCUGCACACGUCCUACAAUGGCAUGCACAAAGGGACGCAAAAGUCGCGAGACCAAGCAAAAUCCCAAAAAACAUGCCCCAGUUCGGAUUGC
rnacentral:rRNA from 1 species